UCAGUUCAUGUAAGGCAAAGGCAGAACAAAUAAGAUGACCCUUCCUUUCAUCUCCUCUCAAUUACUGUAACACACAAUGUCCGCCAUUAGCUCAGUAUCUUGCUCAAGUCCCCUUCAAAAUGGCUUCUCUCAACGCCUCCCGAGCAUAUCCAUUAAUACCCCAUUACAGUUGAAAACGAGAAACAGAUCCUUAAUUGUGUCAUCAAAUGAUAAUGAAUUGAUUCCAACUUAUUCAACGAGACGAGCACUGAAUGUAUCAAUUUUGACGGUGUUACUGUCGAUACCUUUCUCAAGCUCCGCUAUUGCCAUUGGUGAGGUGUUAGAGCUUGAAAGAUAUACGGAUUCAGCUGAAGGUUUCACUCUCCUCAAACCCUCUUCUUGGAGCAAGGUUGACAAAGCUGGGGCAACUGCCCUGUUUCAGGAUGCAAACAAGGGAUCCAACAAUGUGGGCGUUGUGGUUAUCCCUGUAAAAAUAACAACCCUUAGCCAAUUCGGAACUCCACAAUUCGUGGCAGAUAAGUUAAUUCUGGCUGAAAAACGCAAGGAAAGUACAAAGGAGGCUGAAGUGGUUUCAGUAUCGGAGAGAACGGGUGAAGGAGGUCUUCAAGUAUAUGAGUUUGAGUACAAGGUUGAUAGCACGAGGGGAGGGUUGAAGAGGAUACUUUCUGCUGCAUUUGUGGCAUCUGGCAAGCUCUAUCUGUUAAACAUUGCUCACUCUGAUGGGUUAGAAAGUCCUAUUGAUCCAGAUAGAAGAAAUACGUUGGAACAGAUUCUUCAUUCCUUUGAUAUUGCUCCUUCAACUUAAUUCAACAUGAGCUCAUUUUUUUCCCUCAUUGGGCUUCGUCCUGGGAUCAAAACUGAAGGAACUUCCGAUGCAUAAAGGUAGUAACUCUAUACACAUUGACUCGUGAACCUCACGCUGAUACUUUGUUCUUCCCUCAAGUUGGCAAUAGACACCUCUAUCACAUUAUCAUGUUGACACCAUUUUGGUCAAGCCUCAACCAAUAUUGGCUGAUUUAAACGUGACACAGGUUUUGCCAAAAACUGAUUAAUGACAACAACAAUAAACCCAGUGUAGUCCCAUAAGCAGGGUUUGGUGAGAGUAGAAUGUAUAUAGACCUUCCCCCCGCCUCAUGGAGGUUGAGAACUGAUUACAU